rnacentral:rRNA from 1 species
GGUUAACGCUGGCGGCGUGCCUUACACAUGCAAGUCGAACGGGGCUAUCAGCGAUGGUAGCUUAGUGGCGAACGGGUGAGGAAGACGCAGGGACCUACCGACCAGAGGGGGAUACCCGUCUGGAAACGGCGGAUAAAACCGCAUACGCCCGGGUGAAAGCCCGGGGAAAAGCACUACGGUGUUACUGGACGAGGGACCUGCGGCCCAUCAGGUAGUUGGGGAGGUAACGGCUCACCAAGCCGACGACGGGUAUCUGGCGUGAGAGCGCGAACAGGCACAAGGACACUGAGAGACGGGUCCUACUCCUACGGGAGGCAGCAGUGGGGAAUAUUGGACAAUGGGCGAAAGCCUGAUCCAGCGACGCCGCGUGUCGGAAGGAGUCCUUCGGGAUGUAAACGACUUUUGGUGGAGACGAAUAAGCAGCUCAGGGAAUGGGGCUGUGAUGACGGUAUCCAUGGAAUAAGCCCCGGCUAACUACGUG